UUGUAUACAGGUAAAGCGAGAGGAAUUGCUUCAAUUUGCACAAAGUGCAAUUACAGGAUUGAAGAUAAGUGCUGAUCUUGGAAGAAUAGAUGAUGAGGCCUCUAGGUUAAAGAAGAAGCUUGAUGGAAGGACACCACUGCUGACGUCUCCUUCAACUGAAGGUCAUGACAAAGUAUCGGAAGAAACAAAAUUGGAAACAGUACAGGCAUUAAAAAAAGUACUUGCACAAAUUCGAGCUUGUUCCAGAUUAGAAGGGCUUUUACUGAAGAAGAAACUCUUGAAUAGUGGAGAUUCUUCAGAGAUCCAUGCUCAAAAAGU